rnacentral:lncRNA from 1 species
UCAGAUGGAGGCACUUGAAAUCCCAUAUGUUGAAGAAGUGGGUCUUAGAAGUGCAUCCUCAAACUUAUGGUUCCGAGUUCCAUUUGCCAGAGAUGAUACAUGGCAGCAUAUAUGCUUGCGGCUAGGUAGACCUGGAAGUAUGUAUUGGGAUGUGAAUAUUAAUGACGUGCCAGAGAUGAUGCAUGGCAGCAUAUAUGCUUGCGGCUAGGUAGACCUGGAAGUAUGUAUUGGGAUGUGAAAAUUAAUGACCAGCACUUCCAGGACUUGUGGGAGCUUCAGAAAGGAAGCAAUAGUACACCAUGGGGUUCUGGUGUUCGAAUUGCCAAUACAUCUGAUGCAGACUCUCAUAUUCGUU